rnacentral:rRNA from 1 species
GUAGGGGGCAAGCGUUAUCCGGAUUUACUGGGUGUAAAGGGAGCGUAGACGGAUUAGCAAGUCUGAUGUGAAAGGCAGGGGCUCAACCCCUGGACUGCAUUGGAAACUGCCAGUCUUGAGUGCCGGAGAGGUAAGCGGAAUUCCUAGUGUAGCGGUGAAAUGCGUAGAUAUUAGGAGGAACACCAGUGGCGAAGGCGGCUUACUGGACGGCAACUGACGUUGAGGCUCGAAAGCGUGGGGAGCAAACAGGAUUAGAUACCCUGGUAGUCCACGCCGUAAACGGUGGAUGCUGGAUGUGGGGCCCGUUCCACGGGUUCCGUGUCGGAGCUAACGCGUUAAGCAUCCCGCCUGGGGAGU